ACAUUCUCGCAGGUUUCCGAUACCAGUUUCUGUGCUUCUAAGUGCUGCCGUAUUUGCACUAGCACAUUUCGAUGUUGGAGGAUUACCGCAACUCUUUGCUCAUGGAAUUGUUCUGGGGUUCUGUUAUGCUCAAACGCGCAACCUUGUAACACCAAUCACAAUUCAAGCCUUAUGGAAUACCAGAAUUUGCUUGCUUCUCAGCUACCUGCUGCAUAAAGGAUAUGAUGUCAGGGGCAUGUUACAAAGUUAGUGAUUCAGAUGGGUUGAAGUGUAUAUCUGAACCAGGUAGUAUAAAAUUCAUCGGCUUCUUUGCCACGCUAAUUCAUCUUAGAAUACCGUAUACAAUUUAUGAAUAUAUGCAGAGCAGGAAAGAAAGCCUUGCAAAAGCUUGUAUCGACCGUGUUAAAAUGGUUUUGGUUAUUACACUCCAAAUUCCAAUGGUUCAAGCAUUAGUGCAUACUGUUAGUCUUGGAAUGGUGUUGGACAUGGGAUAAUACUGGAUUACUAUUUCAAAAUCGUAAAUUUUUUCGUUACAGCGAUUUCGUUGUAAUUGAUUUCCUCGUAGUUUUGCAAGUGA